AAAUGAAAACAACUGUUCGUAGUGGCUCUAAGUACAGGUCCUAAAUCUGUGUAAGGGUGAGGUGUGCUGGAGAGAUGAGAGCUGGGGGGGUUAAGUAUCCUGGCAGUUUAUCCAAACCUGCUGACUGUGAGGGUGAGAUCUCAGAAAACAUGGGAUCGAGGAGGAGGAGAAGACGAGCUUAAACAUAAACUAUGGAGAUUAGAAGUGAUGGUGAGUGGGAGAGAAAGAGAGAGAGAGAGAGAGAGAG